UUUUCAAGCUCUAUGGCAAUUACAAACUAUGAAAAAAAUACCCUUUCUUGGGGUGUAGGGCUAUUAUUCAAGCAUCUCGCCUCAUUAUAGGAGCUGGAACUUACAUAGCACUGCACAGAAAUGGAAUAAACAAGGGGUGAGUUGUCGUAAACCAAUAAUGACUCCUGGCUUUGUGUUUUUCCAAGAGUCAUCCCACACAAGAUCUUAUUGGAUCUCUACAUGUAUUCGUUUUCUAUUGAUGCUGUAACAAAAUUACUACACGUUUAGAGGCUUAAAAUAACAUUUUUUUCUCUUGCAGUUCUGAAAGUCAGAAGUUCAAAAUGAGUCUUACCCGGCUAAAUCAAGGUGUCAGUGGGGGGAGGGGGGUGUCCCUUGUGAAGGCUCAAGGAAGAAUCUGUUUCUUCCCUCUUCCAACCUGCAGUCCUUGGUCUGUGGCCCCUUCCUGCACCUUCAAGACCAACCACGUAACAUCUUCAGGACCUGCCAACUCAGACCACAGGCCCACAAAGGCAGAGUACUCCAGCCCUUCCAGACACGAGGGCUCCUGCAGCAGUUGGAGGCCUCUCUCAAAUGGAGAAGGUGGUAAGAAAGCUGAUUUGCCCAUAAGUAAAUAGCUGUUGUAAUUAUGGAACAUUAUUCUCAACAGACCAGCAGACGGAAAACAAUUUGCAUAACAGACGCGCUUAUUCAUGGAAAUGUUUGUGAUUUAUCUACCAAAGCAGAUGAAGACCCUAAAAUUAAAAUGUGUAUGCCAGCACCAGGAAGCCAAAUGCUCACUUCCUCCUCUUCUCAGCAAGGUACACAUGCUGCCAACAGGUCAGACUCAGCAUCUUCAGAUCCCUUUACAUUGGGGGGCUCUGGAGAAAGUGCAGAUCUGAGAGAGCGGCACAGGAGGAACGAUGAAGAAAUGUACAAACCGCACAGCGUUUUCCUUUAUGCCGAGAGGUCAGUGCUGCCAAUGCUGGUGGGUACCUGGCAUGAGUCGGCUAUGAAAUGGAAACCUAUCUCCAGAGCCCGUAUUGGAGAGUCAUGGAACAAAUGAAACCUGGCAAAGCGAAGUUAAAUUUCAGAUUUAAGUGGUGAAUGAAGGUGCUGCCCUGCACACCCAGAGAAGCAGCCACUCUACAGUUCAACCAACAGAAAAUCAUCUGUAAGCUGGGAGAACGUGU